rnacentral:ribozyme from 16 species
UCAAGGCGGUGGACAGGGCCACAAAAAAAGACCGUCAUUGUUGCUGAUUUUGAGUACGUUUACAAAGGAGUUAACACCUGGUCUCACAAAUGGAAGCAAAAAGGGUGGGUAAACUCACAAGAGCCAAUUGAAAACGUGGAUC